UCUGCAGCUGAUACCAAUUCCCGAUAGGGAAUUUGUCCUCUAGUUUUAUAAGAUGUUCCCAUCGAGAGAAACUGCUUAAAAAAAUACAGGAGAACCCUCUCCUAGGUCUGACUACGGUACGUAAAUCUACAAUCAUCACAAUGUAAAAAGUUUACAUGUAAACUUACAGGAGAAUUGAAAUUUACCACAAAUCUCCAAUUGAGUCUACUGUGCUCUAGCACACCGAAAUUCUGAGGGUCUAAGCAUGUGUUUGGAGUUCACGGAGUUCCCACUGGGGCUCAGCAGGAUAAGAACCUGACUAGUAUGCAUGAAGAAACAGGUUCAAUCCUUGGCCUGACUCGGUGGGUUAAGGGCCUGGCAUUGCUGCAAGCUGCGGCUUAGGUGGUAGAUGCGGCUGGGAUCUGGUGUGGCUGUGGCAGGGGCAUAGGCCUGCAGCUGCGGCUCCAAUUGAAUCCUUAGUCUGGGAACUUUCAUAUGCUGCACCUGUAGCCAUAAAAAGGAAAAAAAUAAUAAUAAUUACAGUUCACAAAACUGCUGGCUUUGAUCCUCUUGUCCCUUCCAACUCAGUAGCCUGGAAACCUCCCAUAGCUCUAUCUUAAGAUCUGUGCUUUUCUGUGGCACUUUCUCCCCUCCUCAUUGUUCAGGGUUCAUUAGAUAAAACUGUCCCAAACUCCUGCUGAGAGAUGAUCUAUUGUGAGAUAGCUUUGUGAGGCAGAACACAGGAAACCUCAGGGUCUUAUCUCCUGUGAGCCGUCUGUUUUUCCCCAACAGCCCAAUAAAGGAGACUCCUCAGCUGGCAGGGAGUGGUUGGGAAGGCAGACACGGUCCCCAGACCCCUGACCCCACCCUCCACGGCCCUCUCUGUCGCAGGCAGCUGCGUUUCUUGUGGGCUGAGCCAGGGCUGGGAGGGUGAACAGUUCCUUCUCAGAUGGGCAAAGAGGACUUGUCCUGAUGGCUCUCUCAAUCUCUGCAAGGUCUCUGUUCACGUGUAUGUCCUGCUGAGUCGUAGUUCGGAGGAAGAGAAAAAUAGUCCAUUACAGACGUCGUAAAAUGUCUCUCUCCUCAUCAUGGAUCAAAGCUGUUUUCAUCAUUUCCUUGGCAGGACCUCUUCAUUCUGGUGAGUAGAUUUUCAUCUGCAGUGAAACAUGUUACAUAUCUUAGAAAGUGCAGGAAAAAGUUCUGUAAUCCAGGAAUGGAGGAGCUUGUGUUUUAUUGGGUUU
rnacentral:lncRNA from 1 species